GGCCAGACUCCUACGGGAGGCAGCAGUGGGGAAUAUUGGGCAAUGGGCGCAAGCCUGACCCAGCAACGCCGCGUGAAGGAAGAAGGCUUUCGGGUUGUAAACUUCUUUUGUCAGGGACGAAGCAAGUGACGGUACCUGACGAAUAAGCCACGGCUAACUACGUGCCAGCAGCCGCGGUAAUACGUAGGUGGCAAGCGUUAUCCGGAUUUAUUGGGUGUAAAGGGAGCGUAGGCGGCCUGGCAAGCCUGAUGUGAAAUACCGGGGCCCAACCCCGGGGCUGCAUUGGGAACUGCCAGGCUGGAGUGCCGGAGAGACAGGCGGAAUUCCUAGUGUAGCGGUGAAAUGCGUAGAUAUUAGGAGGAACACCAGUGGCGAAGGCGGCCUGCUGGACGGUGACUGACGCUGAGGCUCGAAAGCGUGGGGAGCAAACAGGAUUAGAUACCCCGGUA
rnacentral:rRNA from 1 species